rnacentral:rRNA from 1 species
UAGGAGGUCAUGCCUGCCCUGUGACUUGAUUGUUUAACGGCCGCGGUAUCUUGACCGUGCAAAGGUAGCGUAAUCACCUGUCUUUUAAAUGAAGACCUGUAUGAAUGGCCCCACGAGGGCUUUACUGUCUCCUCUCCCCAGUCAAUGAAAUUGAUCUACCCGUGCAGAAGCGGGUAUCGAAACAUAAGACGAGAAGACCCUAUGGAGCUUUAGACACAGAGUAGCCCGCACCAUCAAUUCCCCCUAAGGAAGUUUACCCCUCCGGCCCCUAUUUAAUGUCUUAGGUUGGGGCGACCAAGGGGUAAAAAGAAACCCCCUUGCAGAAUGGAAACUUUUAUAUUAAUUAUGCUUCCUAAAGCACGAACAACCGUUCUAACUAUCAAAAUUUUUGACCUAACGACCCGGCAAAGCCGAUCAACGAACCAAGUUACCCUAGGGAUAACAGCGCAAUCCUCUCUUAGAGCUCAUAUCGACGAGAGGGGUUACGACCUCGAUGUUGGAUCAGGACAUCCUAAUGGUGCAGCCACUAUUAAGGGUUCGUUUGUUCAACG